UACAGAGGUCUCAAGCGUUGUUCGGAUUCAUUGGGCGUAAAGGGUGCGUAGGCGGCGCGGUAAGUCGGGUGUGAAAUCUCGGGGCUUAACUCCGAAACUGCAUUCCAUACUGCGGUGCUUGAGGACUGGAGAGGAGACUGGAAUUUACGGUGUAGCAGUGAAAUGCGUAGAGAUCGUAAGGAAGACCAGUGGCGAAGGCGGGUCUCUGGACAGUUCCUGACACUGAGGCACGAAGGCCAGGGGAGCAAACGGG
rnacentral:rRNA from 1 species